rnacentral:rRNA from 1 species
GACGAACGCUGGCGGCGUGCCUAAUACAUGCAAGUCGAACGAACCGCUACUGAGUUCUUGCACUUGGUCAAGGUGAGUGGCGAACGGGUGAGUAACACGUGGGUAACCUACCUCAUAGUGGGGGAUAACAGUCGGAAACGACUGCUAAUACCGCAUAGGAGAUAGGAUCACAUGAUCCAGUGAGGAAAGGUGGCGCAAGCUAUCGCUAAGAGAUGGACCCGCGGUGCAUUAGCUAGUUGGUAGGGUAAAGGCCUACCAAGGCGAUGAUGCAUAGCCGACCUGAGAGGGUGAUCGGCCACAUUGGGACUGAGACACGGCCCAAACUCCUACGGGAGGCAGCAGUAGGGAAUCUUCCGCAAUGGACGCAAGUCUGACGGAGCAACGCCGCGUGAGUGAAGAAGGUCUUCGGAUCGUAAAGCUCUGUUGUUAGAGAAGAACAGCGCAUAGAGUAACUGCUAUGCGUGUGACGGUAUCUAACCAGAAAGCCACGGCUAACUACGUG